ACGUCAAUUUUUGGGUUUUCUCUACGCGAAACGCAUAAACCCUAAUUGUUUCGUCGCGCCACCAAUUUUUCGCGAAGCUUCUUCGUCGGCAACCACCAUUCCGAGCUCCUCCAGUGUUUCGCGAUCCUUCCCGUCGGUGACCAUUAUUCUGACCUCCUCUAGAUUUAUUAUAGAUUCAUUGUGGACCAAGGUCGAUCUGCCGUAUAUGGAUUCAUUAAACCUCAAACCAUUCAACCUUCGGGAAACUCACAUGACCACAUCAAACUUUAUUUGCAAACAUGGAUGGUUGAGUCAAAUAGAGAGAUCUAC